rnacentral:tRNA from 1 species
GCAGUGAUGAUUCAGUGGUAGAAUUCUUGCCUUCCACUCGGGAGACUUGGGUUCGAUUCCCAGCCAAUGCA